AAGUUUCUGUUUGUUCUAAUCCCCCCUCCCUCUGUCUCUGUAUGGGGGAGCUGUUUUCUUCUUCCUUCCUUCUUGCCUAAUAAACUCUCCACUCCUUAAAACCAUUACAUGUGUGUCUGUGUCAUUUUAUCUAAACUGGUGCGAGACCAAGGACCCUGGUGUUCCUCCAGUCAUCGGAGCCGUAUCAUUUUGGUGCAUUGGCCAGGAAUUCAUUCAUCGGAGCGAAGCAAUUAAACUCCAAAUGGUACUGCAAGCAGAACCACACAUGGACACGCCAUUCUUCCAAGAAUCCUUAAAUCAACCUCAGGAGAAGGCCCAACUGCUGCUCCCCUGCAUGCUCCUUUUCAGCAGGAAGUGGCCACAAAGAAUCAUCGUCCAACACCCCCUAACAGCAGUUAGGUUUGCUUCUCUUGAGGGGGGAAAUAAUACAGGUGUUACUUAAAAAAGUUUUUUUAGGCAGAGAGAGAGGCUAAAAGGAGUUCUUGGUAAGGCUUUUUCUGUUAAUAAAAGCAAACCCCGAACCAUUUCUUUUCUAACAGAAAAACCGCUUGAAGGGCCGGGCCAGGAAGCUUUGAUACGCAAAUGCCGCCCGUUAGAAAUGGUCCACCCAAUAUGGCGACUCCUGCCUUCUUCUUGUCACCAUGUGUGCCAAGUGUCAUGGCUACCUCCAGAUAAUACCAUGUGUUCAGAACAUCAUGGCGAUCCGUAUUUGCAUAUUAAAGAGCUAAGGUGGGAAAUUUCGCCAGGUUUUUCACAGGCAAUGUAAAUAACAUACCUGGUCAAACCAAUCCCCUGGGCCCUAUGCAAACCAGACACCACCUCCUCCAGCAUCCCAAUAUAAGCAACCACUUUUCCUGCCACACACGGGGUUUCUCGUCGUUCGAAUCCCCCCUCCCUUUGUCUCUGUACCGGGGAGCUGUUUUCUUCCUUGCUUCUCUCUUGCCUAAUAAACUCUCCGCUCCUUAAAACUA